AGCGAGAUAGCUCAGUGGUAGAGCACAGGACCUACAUGCUUGAGACCCUGAAUUCAGUUUCCAGUAUGGCUU
rnacentral:tRNA from 1 species